CAAAAUAAUAGCAAAAGUGUAUUUAACUAUGUAUGCAUAUAUAUAAGCAUGCUUAUAAGUAUGAUAUAUACGCAUGCACACUUUUGUACAAGAGAAAUGAAAGACAGCAAAAAUGCAAGCAACAGAGGGAGGAAUCAGCAUUGUCUGUUAUUGGUGUCAAACUAUGUGAGGCAAAACCUGAUAUACCUGCAAGGAGAGAGAGAGGAAUCUGCUAUCAUAGUUGAAGACUUCAGCACCCCUCUGUCAUAAACGGACAGACCCAGCAGAAAGAAAAUCAGUAAGGACAUAGUGGAGCUCAACAGUACCGUCAAUCAUCUGGAUACAAUGGACAUCUAUAGACCACUUCAUCCAAGAAGAGCACGGAAAUGACAAGGAAGGAGAAGUUAGACCAUCUGGGGCUGUGGGAAGGUCUGGCAGAGAGAAGGUGCUUGACAGUGACAGUACUUGGGAGGCCAGACUUCAUCUCGCCGUAUCCAAGGACUGACUGAAACAACACAGACAAGGGCCAUUUAUGGAAGUAAGCAUACUGUUGCAAGAAUGUGCUUUUGGGAAUUUUGACAGCAGUCUGCAUUUUCAAGGAUUUAUGGGAGCUUUGUCAGAAGUCAAAGUCUCUCUCUGUGCCCCUUCUUUCCUCACCCAUACACUUGAUGCCAUUCUG
ensembl:lncRNA